AUGAAUGGCCUAUUCUGGAACUGCAGAGGAGCAGGGAAAAAAGGAAUGAUCACCUGUUUCUCUGAUCUGAUUAAGAAUCAUUCCCUAGAUUUUUUGUGUCUCCAGGAGACUAUGAAAAGAAAAUUCUGUUGGAAAAUUGAUCCCUAUAGUACUUUUGACUGGAAUUGGAUACCUUCUAUUGGCAAGGCUGGGGGCUUACUUUGUGGGGUCAAGAGGGACAAAUUGGAGAUUGUCUCUUGGUCCCUAGGAAAAUUUAUCCUCCAAGUUAUUAUUUUUUGUGUUGCUAAACAAUGUGUUUGGGCCCUUCUAAAUGUCUAUGGUGCGGCUCAUGAUGAGCAGAAGGAAGAGUUUCUUGUGGAGUUGGCUAGUUUUUGUAGUCAUUUAUCCAUACCUUACAUUGUGGGUGGUGAUUUCAACAUCCUCAGACACUGUGGAGAGAAAAACAAAAAAAAUGAUGACCUCCCAGUAUGUUGA
rnacentral:rRNA from 1 species